rnacentral:rRNA from 1 species
GGCGAACGGGUGAGUAACACGUGAGUAACCUGCCCCUGACUCUGGGAUAAGCACUGGAAACGGUGUCUAAUACCGGAUACGAACUUCCGCCGCAUGGUGAGGAGUUGGGAAGAAUUUCGGUCUGGGAUGGACUCGCGGCCUAUCAGCUUGUUGGUGAGGUAAUGGCUCACCAAGGCGACGACGGGUAGCCGGCCUGAGAGGGUGACCGGCCACACUGGGACUGAGACACGGCCCAGACUCCUACGGGAGGCAGCAGUGGGGAAUAUUGCACAAUGGGCGCAAGCCUGAUGCAGCAACGCCGCGUGAGGGAUGACGGCCUUCGGGUUGUAAACCUCUUUUAGUAGGGAAGAAGCGAAAGUGACGGUACCUGCAGUAAAAGCACCGGCUAACUACGUGCCAGCAGCCGCGGUAAUACGUAGGGUGCAAGCGUUAUCCGGAAUUUUGGGCGUAAAGAGCUCGUAGGCGGUUUGUCGCGUCUGCUGUGAAAACUGGAGGCUCAACCUCCAGCCUGCAGUGGGUACGGGCAGACUAGAGUGCGGUAGGGGAGAUUGGAAUUCCUGGU